UACGUAGGGGGCUAGCGUUGUCCGGAAUCAUUGGGCGUAAAGCGCGCGUAGGCGGCCAGAUAAGUCCGGUGUGAAAGCCACAGGCUCAACCUUGAUGACGUGACCGCUGGAACUGUCGUGCUAGAGUCCGGGAGGGGCGAGUGGAAUUCCUGGUGUAGCGGUGAAAUGCGCAGAUAUCAGGAGGAACACCAAUGGCGAAGGCAGCUCGCUGGAACGGUAACUGACGCUGAGGCGCGAAAGCGUGGGGAGCGAAACAGG
rnacentral:rRNA from 1 species